rnacentral:rRNA from 1 species
CCUACGGGAGGCAGCAGUCGAGAAUCAUUCACAAUGGGGGAAACCCUGAUGGUGCGACGCCGCGUGGGGGAAUGAAGGUCUUCGGAUUGUAAACCCCUGUCAUGUGGGAGCAAAUUAAAAAGAUAGUACCACAAGAGGAAGAGACGGCUAACUCUGUGCCAGCAGCCGCGGUAAUACAGAGGUCUCAAGCGUUGUUCGGAAUCACUGGGCGUAAAGCGUGCGUAGGCUGUUUCGUAAGUCGUGUGUGAAAGGCGCGGGCUCAACCCGCGGACGGCACAUGAUACUGCGAGACUAGAGUAAUGGAGGGGGAACCGGAAUUCUCGGUGUAGCAGUGAAAUGCGUAGAUAUCGAGAGGAACACUCGUGGCGAAGGCGGGUUCCUGGACAUUAACUGACGCUGAGGCACGAAGGCCAGGGGAGCGAAAAGGAUUAGAUACCCUAGUAGUC